rnacentral:rRNA from 1 species
UAUAUGGGUGACGACCGGCAAACGGGUGCGGAACACGUACACAACCUUCCUUCAAGCGGGGAAUAGCCCAGAGAAAUUUGGAUUAAUACCCCAUAGAAUAUUGGAUCGGCAUCGGUUUGAUAUUAAAGAUUUAUCACUUGAAGAUGGGUGUGCGUUCGAUUAGGUAGUUGGCGGGGUAACGGCCCACCAAGCCUUCGAUCGAUAGCUGAUGUGAGAGCAUGAUCAGCCACACGGGCACUGAGACACGGGCCCGACUCCUACGGGAGGCAGCAGUAAGGAAUAUUGGUCAAUGGACGAAAGUCUGAACCAGCCAUGCCGCGUGGAGGAUGAAGGUCCUCUGGAUUGUAAACUUCUUUUAUCUAAGACGAAACACAGUUUUUCUAAACUGCUUGACGGUACUAGAUGAAUAAGCACCGGCUAACUCCGUGCCAGCAGCCGCGGUAAUACGGAGGGUGCAAGCGUUAUCCGGAUUCACUGGGUUUAAAGGGUGCGUAGGCGGGCAUGUAAGUCAGUGGUGAAAUCUCAAAGCUUAACUUUGAAACUGCCAUUGAUACUAUGUGUCUUGAAUUUCCUGGAGGUCAGCGGAAUAUGUCAUGUAGCGGU